rnacentral:rRNA from 1 species
AGUCGAACGAACCGCUUAAAUGGAUUUCUCCGGAUUGAAGUUUUUGUGACUGAGUGGCGGACGGGUGAGUAACGCGUGGGUAACCUGCCUCAUACAGGGGGAUAACAGUUAGAAAUGACUGCUAAUACCGCAUAAGCGCACAGUGCUGCAUGGCACAGUGUGAAAAACUCCGGUGGUAUGAGAUGGACCCGCGUCUGAUUAGCUAGUUGGUGGGGUAAUGGCCUACCAAGGCGACGAUCAGUAGCCGGCCUGAGAGGGUGAACGGCCACAUUGGGACUGAGACACGGCCCAAACUCCUACGGGAGGCAGCAGUGGGGAAUAUUGCACAAUGGGGGAAACCCUGAUGCAGCGACGCCGCGUGAGCGAAGAAGUAUUUCGGUAUGUAAAGCUCUAUCGGCAGGGAAGAAAAUGACGGUACCUGACUAAGAAGCACCGGCUAAAUACGUGCCAGCAGCCGCGGUAAUACGUAUGGUGCAAGCGUUAUCCGGAUUUACUGGGUGUAAAGGGAGCGUAGACGGUUGUGUAAGUCUGAUGUGAAAGCCCGGGGCUCAACCCCGGGACUGCAUUGGAAACUAUGUAACUAGAGUGUCGGAGAGGUAAGCGGAAUUCCUAGUGUAGCGGUGAAAUGCGUAGAUAUUAGGAGGAACACCAGUGGCGAAGGCGGCUUACUGGACGAUCACUGACGUUGAGGCUCGAAAGCGUGGGGAGCAAACAGG